rnacentral:rRNA from 1 species
UACGAAGGGGGCGAGCGUUGUUCGGAAUUACUGGGCGUAAAGGGCGCGCAGGCGGCCUUAGAAGUCAGAUGUGAAAGCCCGGGCUCAACCUGGGAAUGGACAUUUGAUACUCUGAGGCUGGAGUACGGGAGAGGAGAGUGGAAUUCCCAGUGUAGAAGGUGAAAUUCGUAGAUAUUGGAAGAACACCGGUGGCGAAGGCGGCUCUCUGGACCGUAACUG